CUAAUCAUUAUUUGCUGCUUCA
rnacentral:miRNA from 1 species